CUCAAGGCCACCUGCCUAGUUAAGGGUAGAGAGAAUAUUCUACAGUCCCACGUUGAAGUUGUUAGCUUGGUUUCUGCCUACGUAUAUUCACGAUCUGGGGAUUAGGUCCUGAGAAAAGUGAAUGGCUGUUGUCAUUUCUAUCCUAUGCUUUACUCUGAAGGAGGCCCAGGAGGGUGACAGAGUGAGGAACGUGGAAUACAUUGGCAUCAUAUUGGUCACUCUUUGAAAUCUGUAAUCUGGCACCCCCCAACCUUGAUUUCCUAUAACCUGGAAGAAAAAAAACAAUCUUUACCUCAGCAUUGGCCUUGAAGACUUCUGAGUCCUAAGCCUGUGCUCCAUCCCCUGCAGAUUCCCACUGUUCUCUGGGAGCAGUUGCUCUUUCCACACACAUUUACUGAGCACCCAUUUCAUACCAGGCCCUGUGCUAGGCCAGGGGACACCCAAUAAGCAAGACAGACAUGGCUUUGAUCCUCAGUCUAGCAGAAGCAGAAAGGCUGCUUAAAAUGAUUCAUCCUGGAAUUUAUUAUUUAUUUCCUAUUUUAAAAUCUUUUUAGAGACAGGGUCUUGCUGUGUUGCCUAUGCUGGAGUGCAGUGGUACAAUCAUAGCUCACUGCAGCCUCAAACUCGUGGGCUCAAGUGAUCCUCCCACCUCAGCCUCUUGAGUGGUUGGGACUACAGGUACAUGCCAACAUGCCCAGCUAAUUUUUAAAAAUUUUUUGUAGAGAAGGGGUCUUGCUAUGUUGCCCAGGAUGGUCUCAGACUCCUGGGCUCAAGUGAUCCUCCUACCUCAGCCUUCCAAAGUUGAGGAUUACAGGCGUGAGCCAUCAUACUUCUAUUAUUAAUCCUAGGAAUGCCCUGGCAUCAGCAUUCAUAACUCGGGCUGUUAGGUGUCCCUACUCAUCUGUUCUGGAUCCUGAGUUGCCUUUCCCAGUCUCUGUGUCUGAAAACCAUUCCCUGUUUGUUUCCUGAUGCUCAUCCCAAAUUGGAUCCCAAAUCCUGAUUUAUGGGAGCCUACAUGGAUGACUGCUGACCACACCCCUGUGUUCUCCUUGCCUGGCUUGAGCACCUAAAUUUAUCAGUGUGCUGGGUGUUGGGGAUAGGAUGCUGAACAAGUGACACAUCACCCCCACUCUCAGGACUGGAUGCUGGCUCCAGGCUGCUACCCUCUGGCCCGGGCUAGGCAGUGUUUUCCCUUUUCUCUUGGAACUGAUGAGCAUUGGCCAUGGCUCUCUAAUUCAGAUGCUAAAUCUUUUGCAUGUUUUUGCUUUGAUCUCAUGUCAGUCUCUACCCUUGACUUUGACAUUUGGAUUCAUGGUAACCUCCCUGAUGAACUGGCCCCCAACUACAAUCUCGGGCAUGGCAACUUCCUGCCACUAUGCUCACCAGCUUGGUCUACCUCCUAGUUCUCCUUCUUUCUGGCUCACUUCAUCUGAAGCAACCAUGGCCUAGAGCUGACCCAUCAUGAUAACAGGCCUUCAAUAAAUAUUUAUGAAGUUGAGUCAACUCAGGAGCAGUUCAGAAAUUCCAGGAACCUCUAAAAGAAUACAAAAGAGUUGGCUGUCAUAUCAUGAUAUGUUCCAAGUUGAAAAUAACUCUUUUCAUCUCUGUGCUUCUCCGUGCUCCAGAAAUUUAAAAGAAAGCAUAGAGUCUCAUGGUGGGUGAGUCAGGGAGGGCCAAGGGGGCAGUUCUCCAUAUAGGACUUGCAUAUCUAGGAAUAGUUUGCAGCCUCAAACCCAGCCCUUUGGGAAGCCUGGAUGGCCCUGGAUGUUGGAAGUGCUGGGAACAGGUCCUACCUGUUACUGGCUGAUCUGGUGUGUUCUUACCUCCAUAUCUCUGCGUGAUAGGCUCUGUCCACACAGAAAGCAGAAGCAGUGCCCAUCUGUGAAGUUCUUUGUUUCCCUUUAAUGCCUCUUUAUGUUUUUGCAUAGGCUGUUCACUCUGGGUUAGAAACCUCUCAGCCUUCAUGAGCUUUCUUCAUACCCACAUAAGAUCAUUCGCACUGGGGCAAGCAAGCUGCCAUGUUGUGGGCAACUUUACAGAGAGGCCCACGUAGCGUGGUGAGAAACUGAGAUCCUCAGUGCAAUAGCCUGUGAGGACUGACACCUGCCAACUUACCAAAGAGUAAGCUCAGAAGUGGAUUUUUCAGCCCCAGUUGAGUCUUGAGAUGACGGAAGCCCGAGCCAACAGCUUGACUGCCAUGUUAUCAGAAACCCUGAGCCAGAAUCACUCAGUUUAACCACUCCUAGAUUCCUGACCCCCAGAACUGUGAGGCUGCUGCUAGCCCAUAAGGCAUCUUUGUGCCAGUUAUGAAACGGGACUCAUUCUUCAAGAUGCUUUUCUCCCUUUGGCUGGAAGAUUGUCAUAAAUCUCCAAUCUGUGAAGGGGGCCAUGCUGUAUUAGUCCAU
rnacentral:lncRNA from 1 species